rnacentral:rRNA from 1 species
GAGUUUGAUCAGGCUCAGAUUGAACGCUGGCGGCAGGCCUAACACAUGCAAGUCGAGCGGAUGACGGGAGCUUGCUCCUUGAUUCAGCGGCGGACGGGUGAGUAAUGCCUAGGAAUCUGCCUGGUAGUGGGGGACAACGUUUCGAAAGGAACGCUAAUACCGCAUACGUCCUACGGGAGAAAGCAGGGGACCUUCGGGCCUUGCGCUAUCAGAUGAGCCUAGGUCGGAUUAGCUAGUUGGUGGGGUAAUGGCUCACCAAGGCGACGAUCCGUAACUGGUCUGAGAGGAUGAUCAGUCACACUGGAACUGAGACACGGUCCAGACUCCUACGGGAGGCAGCAGUGGGGAAUAUUGGACAAUGGGCGAAAGCCUGAUCCAGCCAUGCCGCGUGUGUGAAGAAGGUCUUCGGAUUGUAAAGCACUUUAAGUUGGGAGGAAGGGCAGUAAGUUAAUACCUUGCUGUUUUGACGUUACCGACAGAAUAAGCACCGGCUAACUCUGUGCC